rnacentral:rRNA from 1 species
CAGCACGGGAGCAAUCCUGGUGGCGAGUGGCGAACGGGUGAGUAAUACAUCGGAACGUGUCCUGUAGUGGGGGAUAGCCCGGCGAAAGCCGGAUUAAUACCGCAUACGCUCUACGGAGGAAAGGGGGGGAUCUUAGGACCUCUCGCUACAGGGGCGGCCGAUGGCAGAUUAGCUAGUUGGUGGGGUAAAGGCCUACCAAGGCGACGAUCUGUAGCUGGUCUGAGAGGACGACCAGCCACACUGGGACUGAGACACGGCCCAGACUCCUACGGGAGGCAGCAGUGGGGAAUUUUGGACAAUGGGCGAAAGCCUGAUCCAGCAAUGCCGCGUGUGUGAAGAAGGCCUUCGGGUUGUAAAGCACUUUUGUCCGGAAAGAAAUCCCCUGGGAUAAUACCCCGGGGGGAUGACGGUACCGGAAGAAUAAGCACCGGCUAACUACGUGCCAGCAGCCGCGGUAAUACGUAGGGUGCAAGCGUUAAUCGGAAUUACUGGGCGUAAAGCGUGCGCAGGCGGUUCGCUAAGACAGAUGUGAAAUCCCCGGGCUUAACCUGGGAACUGCAUUUGUGACUGGCGGGCUAGAGUAUGGCAGAGGGGGGUAGAAUUCCACGUGUAGCAGUGAAAUGCGUAGAGAUGUGGAGGAAUACCGAUGGCGAAGGCAGCCCCCUGGGCCAAUACUGACGCUCAUGCACGAAAGCGUGGGGAGCAAACAGGAUUAGAUACCCUG